rnacentral:RNase_P_RNA from 1 species
GAAGCUGACCAGACAGUCGCCGCUUCGUCGUCGUCCUCCUUCGGGGGGAGACGGGCGGAGGGGAGGAAAGUCCGGGCUCCAUAGGGCAAGGUGCCAGGUAACGCCUGGGGGGUGUCACAGCCCACGACCAGUGCAACAGAGAGCAAACCGCCGAUGGCCCGCGCAAGCGGGAUCAGGUAAGGGUGAAAGGGUGCGGUAAGAGCGCACCGCGCGGCAGAUGAAUGACUGUCCACGACAGAACCCGGCUUAUCGGUCAGUUUCACCUUUUACGCAAAAACCCCGCUCCGGCGGGGUUUUUGCUAUUCGAAUAGCGGAGAAAGGAUGAAUGACUGUCCACGACGCUAUACCAAAAGAACGCGGCUUAUCUGUCAGCUACCGUU